rnacentral:misc_RNA from 1 species
UUGUUACAAUAUACACUGGCAUUUUAAUCAGAACACUGGCAGAUGCUUCGCAAAAUCAGCAGUUCCUGUCGCCCCCCCAGAUUGUGUUCACGGUCGUUGGGUUUUGCGUUACUGCAGCUACUACAGUUUUCUUCACUGUAUAUGCAAAAAGGAAACUCAAGGAAUUGCAGAUAGAAGACGAUCAAUUAUUGCAGUAGUGAGGUCUCUUCCUUAGCCAGGCUAAACUUACUUAUUUGAGCACAUAGAGCUGAUGGACAAUGAUUGCAUCAAUCGAACAAUUUCAUAUCAAUGUUCGGUUUCAAG